rnacentral:rRNA from 1 species
AGCGAACGCUGGCGGCAGGCCUAACACAUGCAAGUCGAACGAACUCUUCGGAGUUAGUGGCGGACGGAUGAGUAAACCUGGGGACGGGGCCUUUAGGUCCGGAAUAACCAAGGGAAAUUUGGGUAAUUACCGAAUGGGCCUUCCGGGGGAAGGAUUAAUCGCCUUAAGGGCGGCCCGGGCCUGAUUAGCUAGUUGGGGAGGUAAAGGCUCACCAAGGCGACGAUCAGUAGCUGGUCUGAGAGGAUGAUCAGCCACAUUGGGACUGAGACACGGCCCAAACUCCUACGGGAGGCAGCAGUGGGGAAUCUUGCGCAAUGGGCGAAAGCCUGACGCAGCCAUGCCGCGUGAAUGAUGAAGGUCUUAGGAUUGUAAAAUUCUUUCACCGGGGACGAUAAUGACGGUACCCGGAGAAGAAGCCCCGGCUAACUUCGUGCCAGCCGCCGCAGUAA